GACGAACGCUGGCGGCGUGCCUAACACAUGCAAGUUGAGCGACGAACCAGGGCUUGCCCUGGGGCAAAGCAGCGAACGGGUGAGUAACACGUGGGUAACCUACCCCGAUAACCGGAACAACCCGAGGAAACUCGGGCUAAUACCGGAUGUGCUCACUGGACUUCGGUUCAGUGCGUAAAGGAAGCUUCGGCCUCCGUAUCGGGAGGGGCCCGCGGCCCAUUAGUUUGUUGGUGAGGUAACGGCUCACCAAGACCGCGAUGGGUAGCUGGUCUGAGAGGACGAUCAGCCACACUGGGACUGAGACACGGCCCAGACUCCUACGGGAGGCAGCAGUGGGGAAUCUUGCGCAAUGCGCGAAAGCGUGACGCAGCAACGCCGCGUGGGGGAAGAAGGCCUUCGGGUUGUAAACCCCUUUCAGGAGGGACGAAGGUUCGGCGGUGAAUAGCCGGCCGGACUGACGGUACCUCCACAAGAAGCCCCGGCUAACUACGUG
rnacentral:rRNA from 1 species